UGAGACAUACCCUGAGAACCCAGAGGAAACCCAGGGACCCUGGAGCUGUGAGGCUCGAAGUACAAUGCCUAAUACUUGGGGCAUAACUCGGGGCACACAACCCAUCAUAGGGCACAAUUGUGCACACACGUUACGGAAGAUUUAGAGAUGCCAGUCAGCCUACAACGUGUGUCUUUGGACUGGGGGAGGAAACCCCUGAAGCACGGGGAGAACAUGCAAACUCCGUGCACACAGAGUGGAGGCAGGAUUCGAACCACCAACCCCCAGAGAAGCAACUUGAGAACAGAGAUGGGUGGGAGAGAAAACAGAAAAAAGAAAGAAGCAGUAUACAGAAGUCCAUCCUGCAGCCACUCAUCUCCCUGCUUCAACAAUGACCAAUAAAUGAGCUACAAAACUGUGCAGGACUCCUCCUACCAAGAAAUAUGUCUAAGCUUGGCUAGAAGUGUCUCGUUUCAUCCCCUCAUCCCUUUUUGAAAAUAAAUGAACUGUAUAGUAAUUGAUUGGGAUUGUUUGUACCGUUCACAACAAAGAUAAUAUAUUUGUUGUAUAUAUGUUUUAAAGUGAGUGCAUGUAUGCGUGUUCACCAUGAAUGUCUUUAUCUCUGAAACAAAGAAUAACCAUGAACCAUACUGAACAAGCCAAAAUCCCAGUAGUUACACUGACGUUACUGAAAUUCCAGUAGCUGCCGUGAUGUGAAUUGUAAUGUCUAGUGUCUUGUUAUCCUCAGCAUGCCAUAUCCAAAAACCUGC
ensembl:lncRNA